UGAGGGAAAGUUGCAAAGAACUUUGAAGAGAGAGUUCAAGAGUACGUGAAACUGCUCGGAGGCAAACGGGUGGGGCCUCGAAAUCCCGUCGCGAGGGGAUUCAGUCGAGGGGCGAAGACGGUCCCGGGUCGGCGGCCCUUUGGUGCGCGCUCUACCCGUGGCAUCGUUCCGAGCCCGGAGACGCACUUCCCCUCGCGCAGAGGACGUCGCAGCCGGUUCGGUACUAUAGAAGUCCGGUCUAGGAUCGGGUCGAGAAAGUAGGCGAUCCGUCGCCGUUCUCCCCGACUUCAGACGCGGCACCGGACCGAGGAGUGUGGUGAGCCGUCCCCCCGCACGAACGGGCGGGCACGGGCAACCGGCGCGAGAGGUGCGCGAGGUUCGACCGCCAGCGUCGAUCCGUCGCGGAACCGAUCCGCCGGGAGCCCGGGACCCGCGAAGGGGGCGAGCGGCUGGCGGCGAGUAGGUCGGUCACCCACCCGACCCGUCUUGAAACACGGACCAAGGAGUCCGGCGCGUGCGCGAGUCGUCGAGACUUGAACAGGCUCGAGGGCGCAAUCAACGUGAUCCGAGUUCCUUCUCUGGGCUCGGCUGUCCGCGAUCCGACUAUUCGUAGUCGGCGCAGCGGCGGGCCGUCCAGGUCUUUGGAACCAACAGGGACGGACCCAGAGCGCACGUGCUGGUACCCGAAAGAUGGUGAACUAUGCCCGGGCAGGUUGAAGCUGGAGGAAACUCUGGUGGAGGGCCGCCGCGGUUCUGACGUGCAAAUCGAUCGUCUGACCUAGG
rnacentral:rRNA from 1 species